rnacentral:rRNA from 1 species
AGCGAACGCUGGCGGCAGGCUUAACACAUGCAAGUCGAACGGCCGUAGCAAUACGGCAGUGGCAGACGGGUGAGUAACACGUGGGAAUGUACCUCUCGGUUCGGAAUAACUCAGGGAAACUUGAGCUAAUACCGGAUAAGCCCUUACGGGGAAAGAUUUAUCGCCGAGAGAUCAGCCCGCGUCCGAUUAGCUAGUUGGUGGGGUAAUGGCCCACCAAGGCGACGAUCGGUAGCUGGUCUGAGAGGAUGAUCAGCCACACUGGGACUGAGACACGGCCCAGACUCCUACGGGAGGCAG